rnacentral:rRNA from 1 species
CCAGAGUACCGCGGGACACGAGAAACCCCGUGGGAAGCAGGGGGGACCACCCUCCAAGGCAAAACACAGAUAUCGACCGAUAGCGCAUAGUACCAUGAGGGAAAGGUGAAAAGCACCCCGGGAGGGGAAUGAAACAGAACCUGAAACCGUAUGUUUACAAGCAGUCGGAGACCGUAUAUAUAUCAGGUCGACGGCGUGCCUAUUGAAGAAUGAACCGGCGAGUUAUGAGGUCCAGCGAGGUUAAGCAGGAAAUGCGGAGCCGAAGCGAAAGCGAGUCUUAACAGGGCGAAUAGUUGGACUGCAUAGACCCGAAACCACAGUGAUCUACCCAUGUCCAGGUUGAAGCACAGGUAAAAAUGUGUGGAGGACCGAACCUAUAUCCGUUGAAAAGGGUUAGGAUGAGGUGUGGGUAGGGGUGAAAUUCCAAUCGAACGUGGAGAUAGCUGGUUCUCCCCGAAAUAGCUUUAGGGCUAGCCUCAGGGUAAAGAUUGCAGGCGGUAGAGCACUGAUCAGGAGAGGGACCUACCCGGUUACCAAACCCAGUCAAACUACGAAUGGCUGCAAUUAUACCUGGGAGUCAGACUACGACUUAUAAGGGCCGUGGUCAAAAGGGAAACAGCCCAGAUCAUCAGCUAAGGUCCCAAAUGCCGUGCUAAGUGGCGAAGGAUGUGGCGUUUCAUAAACAACCAGGAUGUUGGCUCAGAAGCAGCCACCAUUUAAAGAGUGCGUAAUAGCUCACUGGUCGAGAGACGCUGCGCCGAAAAUGUCCGGGGCUCAAGCACGGAACCGAAGCUAUGGCAUUGCGUAAGCAAUGGGUAGGGGAGCGUUCUUAUGGGGAAGAAGCAUUACCGUAAGGAGAUGUGGACACAUAAGAAGUGAGAAUGCCGGUAUGAGUAUCGAAAAGAAAGGUGAGAAUCCUUUCCACCGAAAGCCCGAGGGUUCCUGAGCAACGAUCGUCGUCUCAGGGUAAGUCGGGACCUAAGCCGAGGCACAGACGCAUAGGCGAUGGACAACAGGUUGAAAUUCCUGUACCGGAUGGAGUCAUUUGAGCAAUGGAGUGACGCAGGAGGGCACAUGAUCGCGCGACUGGAAGAGCGCGUCCAAGUGCGUAUGUUGAAUCGGAGGCAAAUCCCCGAUUCUGAAAGCAGAGACAUGAUGGGGAGUUAUAAGCGAUUAUGACGAACUCAUGGAUCCCACACUGCCAAGAAAAACUUCUAGCGAGACGAAAUCCGCCCGUACCGUAAACCGACACAGGUAGGCGGGGAGAGAAUCCUAAGGUGCGCGGGAAAACCCUCGUUAAGGAACUCGGCAAAUUGCAUCCGUAACUUCGGGAGAAGGAUGGCCCUGAGUAGGCGAAGUGCAGAAACGCACGGAACAGAAAAGGGUGGCAGAAAAGAGGCCCAAGCAACUGUUUACCAAAAACACAGGUGCCUGCGAAAGCGAAAGCUGAAGUAUAGGUGCUGACGCCUGCCCGGUGCUGGAAGGUUAAGGAGAGAGGUUAGCGCAAGCGAAGCUUUGAACUGAAGCCCCAGUGAACGGCGGCCGUAACUAUAACGGUCCUAAGGUAGCGAAAUUCCUUGUCAGGUAAGUUCUGACCCGCAUGAAAGGCGUAAUGAUUUGGGCACUGUCUCAACAGCCCGCCCGGCGAAAUUGUAGUACCGGUGAAGAUGCCGGUUACCCGCGACAAGACGGAAAGACCCCAUGGAGCUUUACUGUAGCCUAAUAUUGGGUUUCGAUGUUGCAUGCACAGGAUAGAUGGGACACAGGGAAACAAGUGCUUUGGCAUUUGUGGAGUGGCCGUUGGGAUACCAUCCUUGCGAUAUUGGAAUUCUAACCUGCGCCUUUGAAUCAAGGCGGGGGACAUUGUUAGGUGGGCAGUUUGACUGGGGCGGUCGCCUCCUAAAGAGUAACGGAGGCGUUCAAAGGUUCGCUCAGCUUGAACGGAAAUCAAGCAAAAGAGUGCAAACGCAGAAGCGAGCCUAACUGCGAGACUGACGGGUCGAGCAGUAACGAAAGUUGGAGUUAGUGAUCCGGUGGUAUGUGAGUGGAAAUGCCAUCGCUCAACGGAUAAAAG